ACGCUAGGCGGCGUGCCUAACGACAUGCAAGUCAACUUGACUGAAGGAGCAAUCUGACAGUAGAGUGGCGCAAGGGUGCGUAACGCGUAAGUAACUUGCCCCAAGGUAAGGAAUAACGUCGAGAAAUCGGCGCUAAUACCUCAUAAUGCAGCGGAUCCGCAUGGAUAUGUUGUUAAAGGUUUACCGCCUUGGGAUAGGCUUGCGUCUGAUUAGCUAGUUGGUGUGGUAACGGCACACCAAGGCUACGAUCAGUAACUGGUCUCGAGAGGAUGAUCAGUCACACUGGAACUGAGACACGGUCCAGACUCCUACGGGAGGCAGCAGUGAGGAAUAUUGGGCAAUGCUCGAAAGAGUGACCCAGCAACGCCGCGUGGAGGAUGAAGAUAUUCUAUAUCGUAAACUCCUGUGAGAGCAGACGAAAGACAGAUUAUUAAUCUGGAUGACUGUAUGCUCAGAGGAAGCCCCGGCUAACUACGUG
rnacentral:rRNA from 1 species